rnacentral:tRNA from 1 species
GGAAGCGUGCCUGAGAUAUAAGGACUACUUUGAUAAAGCAGACAUGGGUUUAAGAUGCCCCACUUCC